rnacentral:rRNA from 1 species
AGUGAACGCUGGCGGUAGGCCUAACACAUGCAAGUCGAACGGCAGCACAGUAAGAGCUUGCUCUUACGGGUGGCGAGUGGCGGACGGGUGAGGAAUACAUCGGAAUCUACUUUUUCGUGGGGGAUAACGUAGGGAAACUUACGCUAAUACCGCAUACGACCUACGGGUGAAAGCAGGGGAUCUUCGGACCUUGCGCGAUUGAAUGAGCCGAUGUCGGAUUAGCUAGUUGGCGGGGUAAAGGCCCACCAAGGCGACGAUCCGUAGCUGGUCUGAGAGGAUGAUCAGCCACAAUGGAACUGAGACACGGUCCAGACUCCUACGGGAGGCAGCAGUGGGGAAUAUUGGACAAUGGGCGCAAGCCUGAUCCAGACAUACCGCGUGGGUGAAGAAGGCCUUCGGGUUGUAAAGCCCUUUUGUUGGGAAAGAAAAGCAGCAGGUUAAUACCCCGCUGUUCUGACGGUACCCAAAGAAUAAGCACCGGCUAACUUCGUG